AAUUGUAUGCAGCAGAGCUGUCUGGGGGGAGGCUGAAGGAAGCAUAUCAAGAAUGUCUCAGCUAUUCAAGUGAGAAAUCAAAUUAAACCUUGUAUCAAAUAGUAGAGCUGUUCUGUGCUAGGAGUUAUGUCAAAUUCAUUAAAGGUUUCUACACACCAGUCCCCCCAGGAGUUAGCAAAGAGAAAAAACAACACUUUGUGUCAGGGUGCUGUGCUUUCCUGCUUACCUGGAUAUGUUAAUGAUGUGGGUAGAGGAAGGGAGGAUUAUCGAUUUAACCCUCAAGAUACAGGUGAAGGGAGCUGGGACUCCACAGCAAUGCUGUUUGUGUGCUGCUGUCAGUGUCUGUCCAUGUGUCUGUGCUGCAUGGUGGAGGGUGAGAGCCAGGGACUAAAGCUGCAGCAGGCUGGAGGUGUGGAAGCUGCUCUUGUUCCCAGUCUCCUGCUAACAGGCUGGGAGGUGGAGUCACUUGGAUACCCAGCAUGUCUGUGAGUAGCCUGGAGGAGAUGGAAAUACCACCAUCGUGCAGUGCAGCCAGACUUGCUUCUCAUUGGGCAUGAGUCCAUGCUUGUUCCAGGCAAGGAAAAGCUCUGGACAACGCAUUGCUCCCUCCAUGGGGACAGAUUGUAUGGGGGCUGGAUGGAGCACAGGCUUGGCAGGAGAGAGCCUAGAGCUGGGAUGAGCUGCCAGUGCAGUGGCAGAAGAGUCUGCUGGGAACGUGUGAUCUGCAGCAUGCCACGGGACUUCAGCUGCAGGGUGAGCUCCCAGAGUUGCACAGCACAGGCUCUGCAAAAUCCCAGGGGUUCAGCUUGUAGCUGCUUCUCACGGGGCAGUGAGGCACUCUGGAGAGCUGGCAGCUGUCUGGAGGUGAGGAAUGCUGAGCUUCAUCCACUGCAAAUGCUGAAUGCCAAAGCCAUCUCAAGCUGAUGUGCUGAGGCCCAGGCUCUGCUAACACUAUCUAAUUUUUUUUAUCAUCCCUGAUGCGUGUUGUGCUUUGACUUAGAUGCACUCAAGUGUGGGUUUGAUAUUUAAAAGUCAUUUACAGUACUGCUGCUGUGCUGGCAGGAGAAAUUAGUCUGACCCUGGGAUGUACAAAUCCUCAUUUUGGAGCAGAGCAACCUGAGACAGGCAAGGCUGAGUCUGCUCAGGUGCUGUGCCUACUGUUAGCUCUGCACCAGGGCUCUGCAGCCAGCUCGUUGCCUUUCCUCCCUUUUCUUUUUGUUAACUUGUAAGAAUUUUUAUUUUUAAGUCAAAUUUAAGAUGCUAAACCUCAAUUAAGGCUACGUGUAUUCAUUUCCAAGAUGUAAUUUGUUUACAGAACAUUCCCAUUCACAGCAGUGAGCGCUGAUAAUUGCCAUGGUUUGCUUUCCAGCCUUGGAUUUGAUACAGCUGAGAGCACGUGAAGGUGGCUCCCAGGUGGGCAGUGUUGGCUCCUGGGUGGGAACAUGAGGAGCUUACCUAGGAGCUGAUUCUGACCUGGGCACUUCUGCUUUUGCCCAAAGCAGUUCUUGUCCUGGGGUCUGGGAAUGAGCCUGGCUGUGCUUGUUCCCUCUUUUGUCUGUCCUGUGAUACCCUUUGUUAUUUCUGCCCCCAGCAUGAUCUGUAGGCAUCCUCAUCCUGCCCCAGUAUUCCUGCAAGGCCGAACAAACUGCAGUGUGUGUGCUCCUGGAGACAGAGCUGCAGAAAAUCAAUGGGGCUAGAAGAGAAUGAGGCAGUACGUGCUUGUCCUUCGAGCUGCCAGCAGAGGGGAUGGCAUCUUUGCAGCAUGAUGGCUCAUGGCUAUUUUUUUUCCUCUGGCAGGAGCUAUUGCUCUGAGCUGCAGAGAUGCUGUACUGAAGCUUUGACAUGCUGAGCUCUGUGUCCAAUUCCUUCGAAGUACGCUGUUCCAUCUACCUUUGAGAUGCCAGCUUCUCUAGGGUGAGGUGGGCUGUGCAGCAGAGCUGUCCCUGCUCACACUGUAAUCCUCAGCUGUCAGUGUCUUGGAUGAGUUCUUGGAGGGUAUCCAGACAAACACAGGAGAGAUUUCAACUGCUGCGAUCCCCUGUCCUAUUUUAUCUCAUUUCUGACAGCCCAAGUCUGCUGAGGUUGGGAAGUGGUGAAAAGAGGAGAGCAGCUUCCUGCAUUUGUGGAUGAAGAAGCACUCCUUGCUCUGACAGCCUGCUUGCUUCUGCUGUUUCCCGCACUACUGACGGACUGUCUCUUGCCUUCCAGACUAGCUGCAUCUUCAGGAGAAUGUCCCAGAUGGCUCUUUAGGGAAAGAAAUCAGAGACUGAUCGGUGGCCAAAAAAAGUCUCUCAUCUAGUAUCAAAGCCUUAGCUGCACCUUAUGCUUCCCAAGGACAGCUUGGAAAGGGCGCAGUGGAGCUGCUGCUGUUCCUCUUGCAGGGUAUCUAGAGAAAAUCCUGUGUUUCCAGAUAAGGAUGUGCUGGAUUUACAGUUGCCUACCAUUGUUAAUGCAUCCUUGUCUGUGUGGUCAUGUGAAGGUUGCUUUCCCAUUGACCAGAGGGAGAUCAGACCCAUGGUUCAUCUGUACACCCUUCUUAGAGCUGCUGAAGAAACUCAAAAUGGGGUGAUGGCCCCAUGUUCCUUCCUGGACCGUGCUCUUUCUCAAGGGGCUUCCUUGUCUCCACUGCAGCAAGAUGCAGAGCCUGAACUAACUCUGAGCAAGGAACUGUGGAGUCCAGGAACAGCAGAUCUGCUUUAAGUGAGGCUCUUGCCCUGGGUAAUCAUCCCAUCUUGAGAAACACAACAUACUAUCUUAGACUUCUCCCCAAGCCUGCAAAGCCUCCUUCCCAAAUGCUCCUGAAGAGCUUCCUUUUGGAGCAGAGCUGCAGGAGACAAAACAAUCUCUGCUCUUGCAGAAAGAAGCUUGUAUACCUGGAUCUCUCCCCUCAGCCACUGCUGCCCUGGAUGGUGUUUGUUGGCAGGCUUUGCUCCCAGUGCUCCUGCUUACCUCGUGCUCUCCCAAGAGGAACAAGUUUCACAUGAUGGCUUUGGAAAUAAGUCAGGGCAUGUGCCUUGGGCAGCACAAAAGGAACUGGAAACCUGAGCUUUGUUUGCAUGCACGUUGUUCCUGGUGUUGGCAGGGAUGAACCCUGGCUCCAUGCAGCUGCUGUGACUGGUUUACUGGGCACGGCAUGAGAUCCCUCCUCCUUGAAGGACAUUCACUGUUUUUUGAAGCCAUGACUGCCAGCAGAGGUAAGAUUCACGCUUUCUGAGAGCAGCAAGCUUUUUGUGUUUGUCUCCCAGCUCGGGUGAGCAGUUCUGCAGGAGGGCAAGGAGGGGAGCUGCACGCAAUUACCUGCAAACACUGGAGAGCGGUCAGAGGUCCCACUAUCAGCCAUGGCCCAGAUGUACUGAGUGAGCCUGCUCCCAGCAUCCUUGGCUCCUGCAGAUGCACGUGAGCCAGGCUGGCUGUGUGCUGCAGGUGGAGGAGAAAAGAAGCCUUUCAUCUGCUCGCACAGAGCAGGCUGGCAGCCAGCUCAUGCCUGCUGUUUGGUUCCCUCUGCCACAGCCGGAGUAGGGAGGUGGGAGCUGAGCAGCUGUGCCCCUCCUCAGGGAUCAGCCCAGGGUGAGAAAUGUUAGGGGGAUGGACUCUGCUCCCUGUGUUAGCAAUCAGAUUGCUGCUGCAGGGUUAUCUGUCAGCACUGCCUUGGGGUCACAGAGUCACACAGGAGUCCCUCCUGGAGGCACUCCCAUGAGCCAGGUGAAAGCUAGCUGAUUUAUCAGGUGCUCUCUGUGCUAUGCACCCUUCCCAGUGUCCUUGGGAUAUGUGAGCCUGGAUUCAGGCCCUUCUCCUGCCCUUCACAAGGUGUCUCUCCUUCCUACAUUGACACCCUCACUCCCCGCCGCUGCGGCAACAUCCUCCCAUGUUGCUGUCUCAGCUGUACUGGCUCUGCCAGAGCCGUGCCUCUCCUCCUCCCUGCCCACCAUGCCGUGCCAGCGAGCCCAAACCUACUGUGCUGGUCACCUGAUUUGUUUUGGUUCAUGUUCCAGCUGAGGAUAAAGUUGCAGAUAUUUCUGUGCAGCGAUAGGAUCUCAACAGCCAGCCUUGCUUUAAUGUGAUCCCAGGCAUUCGAGGUGCCCCAUUACCUUAUCUCCCCUCUGCAGAUAUCUGUUACUCACCACUCUCACCCUAAAAGCGAGCCAGCCUGGGAGGGAACUGCAGAAGCUCAGCCUCUGCAACCCUGCUGUUGGGCAGAAAGCAGUAAGUGAGGCUCCCAUCCUGCUUUUUCUGCACAAGGUUCCCUUCUUUCUGCUUGCAGCGCUGUGUGGUGCAGUGGGGUGGCUGGGAAGGCUGCGUCACAGCUGACUCACACUGCUGGUAAGGUGGAAACCCCACGCAUUGGUUCCCACCCAGCUCCCCAGGGGCACCUGUUUGCUCUCUGGCUUUGCAGUUCAGCAGUCCCUGAGAUGAACCUGAUAUUGCUGCAUGCAGGGCCAGUGAGGCUGUCCCUCGUCCCAGCCUUACCAGCUGCAUCUUGCUGCUCUCCCGUUGUCACAUGAGCAUUACACCAUCUCUCCCGUGGAGAAUGAGUGUGGAAAGUGCCUGGUUGCCAGAGCAAAGUGAAAUCUGCUCCAGCUUCAAACGCACGCAACCCCAAUCUGUGCACUUUGGGUAAAUGCUAAAUUCUAUCUCUGGUUCAUGAAGAGGAGAGGCUGAUGCUUAAGUGAGGCAUGGGCACCAAACACCCAAGCUUCUGCAGCUCUCAGGUCUCCUGAAAGUUCCUUGAUGCAAAGAGAAACGUUCCCAGCCUGUGUGAGUCAUAGGGCAUUAGGUGGGCUGGGUCAGCUCUGAGCAACACUCAGAUAUAAAGGUGAGAAUUGUUCUAUUGAAUGGCCAAAAAGCUGCUGGUGGCAGAACGGCCUCUGUGAGCAGGCAGUGCAGAAAAAUAAGAGGAAAAUGGAAGGGGGUGUGGGGAGAUGGAAAUCAACAGCUCAACAGCAGUUCAUCCAAUACAGAUCCUUGAAAAUACAGGAAUUUUGAAGGGAGGUAAAAAGAUGUGAUGAGAAACUACAUGGGAAUUUCUAGCAGUGAGGAGGAGGAACUGAAUUCUAGCAUAUUGAGAGGGGUGGAAAAAAAGAGUCAAAAAGCUCUUAGCUACAGGAAUUGGGAGAGCAGAGUGCAUGUUUUUGUAGUCUGGAUGGGGCUGAUGCCAUUCCCAUGUGAUGUGCACGGAUCUGUUUCUAUUCCUGCAGUGCUGGGCGGCUCAGGGUGAGCAGUGCAGGAGCUCUGGGUCACCCCAUUGCCUGUGCUCAGGUCCUGAGCUGCAGGCAGCACAGCUCAGCUGCCCACCAGCUCCGUGCUCCUGGAAGAUGGUCGAUGGAGGUUCGUUGUGGGGUUAUGUAAUGAUUGACCUCGUGGAAACGGGUCUUAGGAAAGCAUGGAAUCAGCUUAGCUUGCGGACGGCUCAAGCUGCGAUGUGGGAGAUGCUAUCAUUGCUGUUAGGAAUUUAUGCUUUUGUACAGUUGGGAAGCAUUUGACUCCACCUCAUUGUGUCCUGGCUAGAGAAACAGGCCUGGGUCACAGCUUUCCUUGGACCAUGCUGAGCUGUGUGCCAGCAACUGGCUGACUCACAGAGCUGCUCCAGGUCUGCCCACGGCCGUGCAGCUGGAGCCAUCGUGCCUGUCUCUGCUAUAGGAGCCCCCUGUGCAGGAGCUGAAGGGAGGAGAGGCAGCGCUCUGCGAUCCUUCUGAGCAGCACAGAUGAACCCACACCUAAUUGCUUUUAAAAACCCCCUGUUGCUAUGGUGACUCAACAAGCGUGAUGCUCACAAGUUCUUCUCUCCACUCCCAGGUCUUGCGUUGGCACUGGGAAGCCUUGUGUGUACCUAUGUACGUACAUCUGCUUUCUUCCAGCUUUCAAAGGUGGCAUGCAGUCCCCUUGGAGCGUGAGCAGAAUCCCUUCUGAGCUGGGAAAAGAUUUGCUUGAAAGGUCUUGUAAUAAGGUUAAGGAGAGGCCAACAGCCGCUCGCCCUGCUGCUGAGCACUUCAGUAGCUAAAUUUAGUCCCUUGAGUCAUUACUGAGUCAGCAAAUUGGGGGCAGGAAAUCUUGAUUUCUCUUUUCUUCCUUUUUCAUCAGUGAUGUACCCAAGACGGGCUCCAGACUGGUUUCCCUCUCAAUCCAGCACGCUGCCUGCCUGCAGUGCUUUCCCCUGGAGCAUCCUUGAGCCUGUCCAGAAAAAGUAAGAGCUCAGUUCCUCUCUGCUGCAGCCACCUGCCGUGACAAGUGGCCUGUCCUCGGGGAAGCAGCAUCGUUUCCUAUCAUUAGUGAUGCGGGGCAUGGGAAGCUGUGUCCAGUCAGCUUUGUCUCUUGCUGGGUGCAUGCUGGCCUGUGGCAGCUCAUGCAUCCCCUGGAGCUGCCUUGAAACCCACUGAUGGGUAAAGAAACCCCAUCCAGCUGCUCUUCUGUGUGCCUGGGAGUGCCUCAGCAUGGUGAAUAGCCACAAAAGAGCUCAGAAGACACAAGCAUGAAUGGUACGAAUGAGUGGUGUCAAGAGAUCCAGACAUGCUACACUGACAGACCUGUGCAGCAGCCCUGCUGAGUUCAGACUGGUCUAUCCCUCGCUGCCCUGCUGGCCAAGGGGCACCCAGCAGGGAUAUGGCCUGGCAGAUAGAUGCCUGCAGGUAGCUGGCUCCUUCCAUACGUGCUUCGGGGUUGCCAGGAGACUGUGAGACCCUGGGCUGGAGCAGAUCAGCAGGUUGUCCAGGCAGCUCAGUAUUGCCCCUGGAAAGCAAGUUCUGGCAGCAGAGCCCCUGUUGCUAGCUGAUGGUAUCAGUUUGUAUUAGAUCCCACUGAGUGUAUUUUACAUAAUUUGUUUCCCAGAAUGAAGUGUUUUUACAAACGCAGCAUUUAAGCACCUUUUAAAAAGGAAUGAAAAAUCACCUACCUCCCUGGAGCUAGGAAAAAAGCUUAAAAGGAAUCAGGAAAGUGCUCUCCCUACAGCACUCACUGGGCUGGGAAGCCCAGAAAACCUGGGGUUGGACUGGAAAAAAUCUGAGGGCUCAAAGAGAAGAGCCUGUGCUGAGAACACUGCUGCUGCCUUCACUGCUGUUUCUGGUCGGGACACCCAAAAGCAGGAAUUGCUUCGGGUCCCUCUGCAGGAGAAGGGAGCACCACCAGGGUCCGGGUUGCUGAAGGGAUGCUCACAGGCCACACUGCUGCUCAGCACCUGGAGAUAAAUCAGUGCUUGCUGGACGAUGAAGGGCAAAGCGGUGCUCCUUGCCCUGCUGUGGCUGCUGAGGAUGGAUGCUGUGCAGCUGGCUGUGCACUGCGGCCCGGGCUGGGGGCUGCCACUCUCACUCUCAUUUCUUUUUUCACGGCAAGCGAAGGAUGAAAAAUCAGAGUAAUGGCCAAGGAGACAACAUCCACUUGGCUUCUCUUGCCCGUGGUGUGAGCGAUUUAUCUAGCUAAGGCAUUGCAGUGGAGUGAGACCAGGAGCAAGGGGACGGCGCUGCAGCGGCAGCAUCAAGGUGUGCUACCCCCCUCUGUGCUGCCUUUGAUUUGCUUCCAGGAGGGAACUCUGCUCCCCAUUCCAAGCAGGCCCGGUGCUGGCUGGCAGAGCAGCGGGAGCCCUGCUGUAACUAAUGAGAUGUUUGCUUCUCGCUGCCUGACGCUGCGGUGGGUUCUCGGUGUGCCUGAGCCCUGUGCUGAUAAACCAAGCCUCCCGGAGAUGGAGCGGCUUCCCUCAGCUACAGGCCUGCUGUGUUCACUCUUAUCUAAUAGGAUCUUUCCUCUGAGCUCUGCUUAAGCCUCCUGUGUAGCAUACCAAACCACUGAGGUUUGAUCGUACAGAGAAGCGGCGCAGAGUGAGAGCAGACCUGAGUGUCAGCUGCCCUCCUUUGGGUCACUGUUGAACAGGACACACGCUCAUGGGGGGUCUGUGGGUUCCCUGUGGCUCUGGAAGGUUCGGAGAAGGGAGCUUUUCCCCCAGCCAAACAUUUAUCCCCUCCUUGCUGCCAUUGCUGAUUAGGGGAUGGGUGUCUGUCUGUCUCUCCCCUGUUAUUUAUUAUGCUGUAAAAGCCAAGGUAACCCAUAUCAGUAAACGCUGUGAAGGGUUUCACACGUGUCAGCUGUGCGUACUUUAUGGAGCAGACACUCUUUCAAGACAACAGGCUCUGUGUGGGGAGGCUGCUGUGAUUAAUGCUGCAGCGUUCACCUGGCUGCUUCCUCCCUGCUGCCACACUGAGCUGAUGUCCCAGGGUGCCCCGAAAAUGUGCAUGAAGCAGCGUGGCACAGAGGGGAGGGAAAGGCUCUGUGCCUCCCGUUGGCAGGAAGAUGAGCAAAGCACACAAGGAGAAGUUUCUUCUCCAAAAAAGCAGCAAUGCAGUGGCACAGCUGCCCAGGGAGUGCUGGGCUCACUGUCCCUGCAGGAGCUCCAGAGCUGUAGGGAUUUGGCACUGAGGGAUAUGGGCAUGGUGGGGUGGGCUGGGGAUGCUGGAAAUUUGUUUUGGAGACGUUCAGACCCUUUCCUGUAGGCACCUGCCUGUUGCAAGAGACGUCCUCCAUCUGCGUGAGUUACUCUGGGCAGAUCCAGCUCUCCUGCAGGAUGCUCUCAGUAGUUGCUCUUGGCUGGUUCUGAGGCUUCCUUUCUCCCAACACUUGUAGGUGAUUGCUUCCUCCUUCUCCUCCGCCUUCCUUUUGUCUCUCUGCAGCACGACAGGUCUGGGAAGGGCCAUCUGCCGCUGUGAUUAAUGGCCCUUUUCUGGCAAAACAACAGAGACAAAUGUCCUUCUGAGCAUGGCAGAAAGAAGCGCAGAAACAAGCUGGCUAAUUUUCAGCCAUUAUUUUGGAACCCAAACUCCUUCCCGGUAUCAAUUUAGCUAUUAUUUCAAAAACUAAUUAAUCCUCACUCAUGCAGCUCCGAGGGACCAGUGUUUAGAUAAUUAACAGCCCGUGGAUUAUGACAAGCCUUGCUCUCGGAUCCUGUUACAGCGCUUGCCUUCAAGUACACUCGCACUGUUGUUCUGCUUACCAAGUCCUUUCAUCAAUUCAUCUUUUUUUUUUUUUUUUUUUUUUUUAAACAAUUAAUAACAAAUAAUUAGCCAGGAUGGAUUCUAUUUGCUUUCUUGCAGCUCAGCUUCGUUUUGGAGGACUGAACUGUUCUUCAGCUGCGCGGGUUUGUAGUGAUUUUGGAGCUAAUUACAACCAAGCAGGAUAGGUCACUGCCAUUACCAGCAUCUGGAAAAGGGAGUUCUUAUUGCUCAGCUCCUCAGUAAGUGACAUGAGGUGUGAGAAAGGAGAUGCUUCUGUGAGAUUGUUGAUACUUCUCCACCCCAGGAGAAUGUCUCUUUGAACUGCCCGAAGUUUCUGUUCUGCUGCUGCUCUGAACUCAUCUGAGGAGAUUUCUGCCUGUGAAUAGAUUUGUCUUUUCUAACUUUGUUUAGGAAAGCUUUAGUUAUACAAGGAGUUUUCAUCUUACCUUUCAUAGAGGUGAAGCUCAGUCUCAGCCUUUUUCCCUAUGAGAUGCAGGUCUCUGGCUGGCAUCCCCUCUCUUCUGGUUCUCCAUGCUGAUGGGCAUCUGAAGGCUCCUGUAAGGCUGGGAGAACACCUGUGGUCCCUGUAUCUUCUGCCCUCUGAGCAAAAGCAGAGCAAGGGGCCCAAGCCGCCCCGGUUCCUGAGCUGUCUCUGCUUGGGGCAGCACAAGGGCAUCCAUCAGGUUGUGCUGGUUUUAAACAGCUGAGCAUGGAUGCAGCCUCACUCCUGGUUUCAGGCAGAAGGAAAUCCUUUCUGAUAAGCUGCUGCUGUUUCAAACAGACGAUAAAUCUCUGCAGGUAGAACUCCCUGUGCUAGCAGUUUGACCCCUAAUGAAGUAUUUACCAGGUUGGCAACUCACUCUGCCUCGGGAAAUACUGUCCUUUCACCUGUGUGCAGCUCUCACUUUUCUUUUGCAAAACCCAUGGCUUAAGGAAAGCAUCAAAGCAGCCAGCAGUCCACUCCUCACCUUCCCAGUCUCUCUCCAUUCUCUUUGCAGAUGCAGUUUGCCAGAGACCCUGUGGCUCUGCACCUUGGAGGGCAAAGAGCUUGCAGGAGAGCUGCACAUCUUUGUGUUUGGGAUGCUGCGUCCUCUUAGCAGCAAUCAGAGAGCAGCAACCCGGGACCAGGGGAGUGGUGAGCCUGGUGGAAAUGCCACUCAUAUACUGGCUGUGAGCAAUGGAAAUAGAGCAAGGGGCUGCUGCUGACCCUGGUGUGUGCACCCUGAGGUGGUGGAGGCAUCUUCAGAAUUGAGCGUUUUGGGAAGGCUGCACUCUUUUGUCCAUGUUUUAAUGAUUUGUUUCAGCAGGGCCAGGCAUCUUCCUCUGCCAUGCUGCCAUGACCUUUGCGGUGAGAUUGUGCGUGGAGAAAUGUGCUGAACCACCCCGUUGCCAUGGAAACCGAGGCUGGGAGGGGACCAGCCUGCUCCUGCUAAUUGCUGUGGAUCUGUGACCCCAUCCCUCCUGCCUCCUGUAAGGCUGCCCGAAUGCACAGCACCGGCCCCAUCCUGUAUCAUCCUGCCCCUUGACUCCCAGCCCCAGUGCUGUGAGCAGGAUCUAGAGUUUCCUUUUCUCCCUUUUGUGUUAUCACAACCUGCAUGAGAUAAGUUAACAUCCAUGGCUUGAGCAUCCCUGCAGCCCAUCACCCCGUGUAUGCACAUCUGCCUGCAUGCUCAUUGCAGGAGCACAGUGGCAGUGCAGUGAUGCACCCUCCCUGCAUCCCAGGCUGCCCUGGCUUAAUCUUGUCCAAUUAAAUAACUGCAGAUAGUGGGCUUAAUAAGGCCCUGCUUUGAAAAAUUACUGACUAUUUCUUUUCCAACGUGCAGUGAAUUAGGAGUCAGCCUGCAAAGCAGUGGUGAGCAGGGAAAGGACUGCUGCUAAUUACUGUCCCUCAUGUCCCCUCUGCUGUCACCACUGCUGUCGGGCCCCCCGUUGCUCCCUGCACCUGAUUGCAUUUUGCUGCUGGUUGUGGCCAAUUUGCAGCUCUCAGCUGCUGCUGCUUCUCCCUUCCCCCCACAGCCCCUGCUCCUCUUCGAGUUUAUUAAUGAAAACCUUAUCUGUUGGAGCAGAUAAUGCCAGAAAUAAUUAGUGCACACAGAGGGCUGGCAGGCUGCUCUCUGCUCCCACCACCCACACCCUCUCCUCUCCCUGUUUACAGUUUCCUGUGCUGCUUGGGGCUGCUUUUUGGGCCUCCUUGCUCUGUACAGAUUUAUUUGCUUCUCUCUCCAAGUUUUCUUUGCUCAAGACAGACCUGAGGCACAGACGCAUCCUAAAGAGCUUGGCCUUAAGCACCUGGGCUGCAGGUGCCCUGACCUUAUUGCUGCUGGAAAUGGGGAGCUGCCCCCCAAAGCCCAAGAGCAGGGAAUGCAUUUGCUCCUGGCAUGCUCUGGUCAGGUCACGGCCUUGCUCCUGCUGUGCCAGCACCGUCCUCACUUUGCUCGUGCUCCCUUUCAUUACAGUUAGCAUCAUUGUCUCUUGGCUUAAAUCUUUCAGCCUGAUAAAGGAUGACAGCACUGCUCGAGUGCCUGGGAUGGCAUAAAUAAUUCCAGUGCUGAGAGAGAUUUAUGGCUAUAUAAAUGUCAGGAGUGAGCCCGGUUUGUAUUAAUGGCCUUAUUAGUUACGUUGCUGUAAAAUACAGAUCCUCCAAUUGUUAAGCGGCCAAGCUUUUGGUCCACAGCAUUAAUCCAAUAAAUUUGGGCUUCUCAAUACAAAUCUUAGUCCCUGAACCGCACUGGAAAAUUCUUCACGAUAUGUCAAAGAGCUUUAAAUGGCUUUGACUGAGAGAGGUGGGAAUAACAGAGCUGGUGGGAGCGCAGGUGUAAGGCGGUGCAGCAGCCCAUCCCCACCCAAGAGCAUGGGAAGUGUGGAGGUCCCUUGGCCGUGGGGAUUGGUGGUUUUGUCGCCAGCUUGGAAAUCACAGCCCAACCCAAACACUCUCAUGGCCCCAAGGUGUCUGUCUGUCCUUCCCACCCUGCUGCCAUCCCUCCCUGUUCCCUGGUACAUCUCAUAUGAGGGCGUUUUGCAACUCUGCAAACUUUCCACCAGCGACCUGCCAAGUGCACGGGGAGGGAG